rnacentral:sRNA from 1 species
AAAUAGCCCUGAUGGGAGCGGCAUCCCUGUUGGCUAAGAAAAAUUGUUUAAAAAAUGAGGUUUCCAAAAGGAUAGAGCGGACAGCAGGACGGGAC